rnacentral:rRNA from 1 species
UACGGGGGGGGGCAAGCGUUGUUCGGAAUUACUGGGCGUAAAGGGCUCGUAGGCGGCCAACUAAGUCAGACGUGAAAUCCCUCGGCUUAACCGGGGAACUGCAUCUGAUACUGGAUGGCUUGAGUUCGGGAGAGGGAUGCGGAAUUCCAGGUGUAGCGGUGAAAUGCGUAGAUAUCUGGAGGAACACCGGUGGCGAAGGCGGCAUCCUGGACCGACACUGACGCUGGAGGAGCGAAAGGCCAGGGGAGCAAGCGGG